rnacentral:lncRNA from 1 species
AGCAUGUGGCCUAAUGAAUUUAGAUGUUUUAUUUUUUCAUCCAGAUUUUUUUCACAGUACUUAUAAUAGCCUGUAGCCUACGAGAUCCAGAUAUUUUUAUUUCGUUUUUUAGAUAUUUUUUGUUUCGAUUAGAGUUGGCAUCCUUAACACUUACAUCGGCCGCGCCAUUGUUGCGCUGUCCCAUCUUAAUUGAAUUCAAAUGGCGAAUCGGCAUUUGCGAUUAUUUUGUACUGUACGUUAAAUUAAUUUAAUUUCCGAAAUGCCAAAAAGAAACUGCGUGUUUACUGAUGAAUUAGACAUAGACAUAUGUUUAUUCAAAAUGAUUAAAAAAG